rnacentral:lncRNA from 1 species
GUCUGCUUUGCUCAUCACCUGUCUCCAACACCUGGCAAAAGAAUAGCUGCACCAGGUGUACCUGCUACAUUCAUUAACUGGCAAAGCCUCGAGGCAAUGAGGCCCAGGAGAGACGAUUUUGAGAGAUGAAUGGCUAACCUGCCCCUGCUGACAGGACCAGCUCCCGUGGCUCAGAGCUGCUUCUGGCCUCAGCCAGUCCUCAGGAAGAAUGAAGAUGUUGACACAGGAGCCCAGGCCAUGGCUGGCCAUGCCCGUUGGGUGGCAGAGAGCUGGCCUGAGUGCCCCAACUCCCUGGCAUUCCUGAAUCCUGCUGCUGCCUGCUUUGCUCCCAAGAAGAGCACCUGCUGAUUCGCCUCAGCCUGUGGAGGGCAGGACCUCCCUUUCCCAGCCUGCUGGUGAGACAGGCCUGUAUUCAGAUGCUUCCUUGGCUGUUAGAAGCUGUGUGACCUGCAGCAAGCCCUUCCUCAGUCUCCACAGGUGGAGAGAGAGGAUGAGGCCAUACUCCCGUGGUGUUAUUGUGAGGAUGAAGGAGGACUAUGUGCAAUGAAGCUAGGGUUCACACGGAGUAUGAACCCUAGCUCUUCUAGCUCUCUCCUCCACCCUUCCAACACCCUUCUCUUCCUCCUUCUGACUGAACAGCCCUUGGAGACUUGGGGUAUGCAUACUUUCUCUUAUUUGCCAUGAUAACAUCUAUUGCAGGCCCAGUGCAAGGAUGCUCCAGUCCCUCAUAGAAGGAAUCAAAGAUAAAGCAAGCACACUCCCUGCCCAGUGGGAACACUAUUCAUUUGCACACCCAUAUGUAUUGGAUGUCACCUGCCCAUGCAUGUGACCUUUCUCUCCCUAAAUUGCUCUGUCCUUGUGUGGUUGCUUCACCUCUGCAGUCAACCUGUGACUGCUCCCUCCCAGAUGCCCAGAUGGCAUCUACACAGAGCCUCAUUGGCUAACCCAGCCUUGCAGCUUCCAUGUCACUGACAUAGGAGGACUGGGAACAAUCUCUAAAAGAAUGACAUAACCCUUAAGGACACGACAUAAACUGGUUAGAGCCAGGUAGCUCCAAGAUGGUGGCAGAUUUGACUUCUAGUUGACUGUGAACCUCAUUAUAUGCUCAUUGUAAUACAUUAGCUAAAUGACACAGCCACAGGCAUCAUGACAAGUCUGAGGCUGACCAUAAACGGCCAAAAGGUGGGUGUUGGCCCAAUUCCUGGAAAUCUUUGCCUCUUUCCCAAAACAGUUGGAACAACCCUCCUGUUCAUUAACCUAUGAAAUUACCCAGCCCAUAAAAACUAACUCCUCUAUUUAUGGGCCUCCCACCUUCUAAGGAGGGGCUUCCCAGGUGGGGCUAGUGGUAGAGAACCUGCCUGCCAAUUCAGGAGACAUAAGAGACACGGGUUUGACCUCUGGGUUGGGAGGAUCCCCUGGAAGAGGGCGUGGCAACCCAAUCUAGUAUUCUUGCCUGGAGAAUCCCAUAGACAGAGGAGCCUGGUGGGCUAUGGACCACCUGAGUCCACAGGGUCACAAAAAGUCAGAAAUGCUGAAGGAACUUAGCACACACACACCUUUUAAGGUGGCCCAUACUCUGUGGAGUGUAUUUCUCCCAAGGCUGCUCUCACCUUUUGAGAUGGACCAUAUUCUGUCUAUGGGAUGUGUAUUUCUCUAAAUAAAUCCACUUCUUGCCUAUCA